rnacentral:rRNA from 1 species
UAAUACGUAGGGGGCAAGCGUUGUCCGGAAUUAUUGGGCGUAAAGCGCGCGCAGGCGGUUUCUUAAGUCUGGUGUCUAAGUGCGGGGCUCAACCCCGUGAUGCACUGGAAACUGGGAGACUUGAGUGCAGAAGAGGAGAGCGGAAUUCCACGUGUAGCGGUGAAAUGCGUAGAGAUGUGGAGGAACACCAGUGGCGAAGGCGGCUCUCUGGACUGUAACUGACGCUGAGGCGCGAAAGCGUGGGGAGCAAACAGGAUUAGAUACCCUGGUAGUCCACGCCGUAAACGAUGAGUGCUAGGUGUUGGGGGGGUCCACCCCUCGGUGCCGAAGUUAACACAUUAAGCACUCCGCCUGGGGAGUACGGUCGCAAGACUGAA